AGCGAACGCUGGCGGCAGGCCUAACACAUGCAAGUCGAACGAACUCUUCGGAGUUAGUGGCGGACGGGUGAGUAACACGUGGGAACGUGCCUUUUGGUUCGGAAUAACUCAGGGAAACUUGUGCUAAUACCGAAUGUGCCCUUCGGGGGAAAGAUUUAUCGCCAUUAGAGCGGCCCGCGUCUGAUUAGCUAGCUGGUGAGGUAACGGCUCACCAAGGCGACGAUCAGUAGCUGGUCUGAGAGGAUGACCAGCCACACUGGGACUGAGACACGGCCCAGACUCCUACGGGAGGCAGCAGUGGGGAAUCUUGCGCAAUGGGCGAAAGCCUGACGCAGCCAUGCCGCGUGAAUGAUGAAGGUCUUAGGAUUGUAAAAUUCUUUCACCGGGGACGAUAAUGACGGUACCCGGAGAAGAAGCCCCGGCUAACUUCGUG
rnacentral:rRNA from 1 species